rnacentral:tRNA from 1 species
GCCCCAGUGGCGGAAUAGGCAUACGCGGCAGGUUGAGGGCCUGUGCCUUUUUAGGCGUGCUGGUUCAAAUCCAGUCUGGGGCACAA